CACUUCUCUCAAACAGAAAAAGAAAAGGGUUGAGCUAGAGUUUGAACCACCAUCUCUUUGGCCUGCCCGCCGGCAGCACGCUGGCGAGCCUGGCGUCCGUGGAGGCGAUGGGGGCGGGAGGAGCAUGGGCCAAGGGGCCGCCCGCGGUGGGGUGCUGGGCCGGGCAUGGCAGCACGGGACCCGUCGAGGACAGGGGCGCGUGUAGUGGGUGUUCCUCAGCUGCCCUGGGGUGGGCAAGGGCACCUAUGCAGGCCGCCUCUUGCGGCUCCUCGGCGUGCCCCACAUUGCCACCUGCGACCUCGUCUGCGGCGAGCUCGCCUCCCAAGGCCCCCUCUCCAAGCAGGAGUUAAGGUUGUAUUUCUGAGGGGAGCAUGCCUAUUACCUUGAUUGAGUUGACUUUUGGCUACUAUAUUAUUGUUACAACUUACCAGCGAAAUUGAAAGAGAUUCAUGUCUGAUAAGGAUGCAUGCAGAUGGGGCAAUGCACUCAUGAGCUCGCCACUAUGCUUAUAACUAGCUUGUUCAAUUUCUCCUGUGAGAUCAAGUUACUUUGAUGUGAAUUUUCACAGCUCUUUGUGCUCUUUUCUUCUUGCUGAACUAAUGUUUCCUCACUAGGAAGACGCUAAUGAUGAGCAACAUUCCUUGGGACACGCUUAAAAUUCCAAAGGACACGAGUGGUGUCCCUUCAAAUGCAUGUAGCUUCCAAUAUGUAUUAUUUAACCUUAGCGAUUGUAUUUAUAGACACUUUGUGUUGCUUCUGUUUGUAGUUGCAGAAGUUUUAACGAGUCAGAGUAGCUUCCACAUCUGUCGUUAGGGCUGACGAUUGUGAUUUUUGGCUUGUACUGAAUAAUUUUGGGAGCGGCUGGGUGAUUACAAGCCAGAAGGACUGCAUGUGAUGAGUUAAGGGCUUAAGGCACAAGAAUAACUACGACCAUUUUAGCUCCAACAGUAAGUACACAACCAAUCAACCAUGCAUUUUCACGACCCAGGUUUCUGAAUUCUGGCUGGUUGGCUCACCGGCACAGCCACAAAAUCUCACACAAUCAAAUUGCUAGCUACACAAAAAACGCUCGGAUCUACGAGUAGAAAUCCAAGGUAACACUUAGUGCCUACAAGUAUUUACUUCAUUUUUUAUCUUCAUGUAAAAAGAGAAUGCAAGCUGAAAUAUACAGUCUACAGAUUCCUCAUGUAUGUUCAAUUUUCAGAAUAGGAAGAACCAGACCGACAGCCCGUUAACUAGAUUGGUUGAAGCAGCUGUUGGUGAUUGUAGCAGAAAUUCAAAAUUUUCUACGCAUUACCAAGAUCAAUCUAUGGAGUACUGUAGCAACAAGGGGAA